AUGAACGCUGGCGGCGUGCCUAACACAUUCAAGUCGAACGGAGUUGUUUGGUCAGAUCCUUCGGGUGACGACCUUUCAACUUAGUGGCGGACGGGUGAGUAACGCGUGAGCAACCUGCCUCUGCGUGGGGGAUAACGACUGGAAACGGUCGCUAAUACCGCAUAAUGUAGCGAUCUCGCAUGUGAUUGCUACCAAAGAUUUAUUGCGCAGAGAUGGGCUCGCGUCUGAUUAGCUAGUUGGUGGGGUAAUGGCCUACCAAGGCAACGAUGCAUAGCCGGACUGAGAGGUUGAACGGCCACACUGGGACUGAGACACGGCCCAGACUCCUACGGGAGACAGCAGUUAGGAAUAUUCGGCAAUGGGGGAAACCCUGACCGAGCAAUGCCGCGUGUGAGAUGAAGGUCCUUUGGAUUGUAAAUCACUUUUAUUUGGGAAGAACUGUAAGUAUAGGAAAUGAUACUUACUUGACGGUACCUUUUGAAUAAGCCCCGGCUAACUACGUG
rnacentral:rRNA from 1 species